rnacentral:sRNA from 1 species
CGGUCCUGCCUCGCUGCCUUCAGUCCCUAGUGUCUGGGUCCCCGCCCUCCAGCCGCCUUUGAGUCGUGCCUGGGUCCUCGCCCUUGCCUCAGAACCGCGAAGAAAGGAAGCUCGCGUGUUUGCUAGGAAACCUAGUUGGGAGUGCGAGGCAGAGAACGUUCAGCACCUUUGUUCCUCCCGAACCCUCGGGACAGAGGCAGGGUUCUGAGGGCAGGGAUUCCCCCUCGUCUUGGCCCCACCGCCCGGGCUGGGCACUAAACUCGGGCCGCGGCGGGGCGAGCGAGGCGGGCUCCGGAGGGAGCUGACGCCUGAUGAUGGCGCAGUCCAACAUGUUCACCGUGGCUGAUGUGUUGAGUCAAGAUGAACUGCGCAAAAAGCUAUACCAGACGUUUAAGGAUCGGGGUAUACUGGAUACACUCAAGACACAACUUCGAAACCAGCUAAUUCAUGAGUUGAUGCACCCUGUAUUGAGUGGAGAACUGCAGCCUCGGUCCAUUUCAGUAGAAGGGAGCUCCCUCUUAAUAGGCGCCUCUAACUCUUUAGUGGCAGAUCACUUACAAAGAUGUGGCUAUGAAUAUUCACUUUCUGUUUUCUUUCCAGAAAGUGGUUUGGCAAAAGAAAAGGUAUUUACUAUGCAGGAUCUAUUACAACUCAUUAAAAUCAACCCUACUUCCAGUCUCUACAAAUCACUGGUUUCAGGAUCUGAUAAAGAAAAUCAAAAAGGUUUUCUUAUGCAUUUUUUAAAAGAAUUGGCAGAAUAUCAUCAAGCUAAAGAGAGUUGUAAUAUGGAAACUCAGACAAGUUCGACAUUUAACAGAGAUUCUCUGGCUGAGAAGCUUCAGCUUAUUGAUGAUCAGUUUGCAGAUGCUUACCCUCAGCGUAUCAAGUUCGAAUCUUUAGAAAUAAAGCUAAAUGAGUAUAAGAGAGAAAUAGAAGAGCAACUUCGGGCAGAAAUGUGUCAAAAGUUGAAGUUUUUUAAAGAUACCGAGAUAGCAAAAAUUAAAAUGGAAGCAAAAAAAAAGUAUGAAAAGGAGUUAACCAUGUUCCAGAAUGAUUUUGAAAAAGCUUGUCAAGCAAAAUCUGAAGCUCUCGUUCUUCGGGAAAAGAGUACCCUUGAAAGAAUUCACAAGCACCAAGAGAUUGAAACAAAAGAAAUUUAUGCUCAAAGGCAACUUUUACUAAAAGAUAUGGAUUUGCUAAGAAGAAGAGAAGCAGAGCUGAAGCAAAGAGUUGAAGCUUUUGAAUUGAACCAGAAGCUCCAGGAAGAAAAACAUAAAAGCAUAACUGAGGCACUUAGGAGACAGGAGCAGAAUAUAAAGAGUUUUGAGGAGACCUAUGACCGAAAGCUCAAGAAUGAACUUCUAAACUUCCACAGGCUGCAUGGUGUCUGCCUGGCUUUGGGAAUCCUCAUAUGACUUUGGCAGGUGUUGGAGUUUGGAGGCUCUUCGCCACAGGAGUGCUUCUAUUUCCUUUUGGAACCAAAAGGGCAGCUGGUAACAGCUGGGAAAGGGAAGUGAAACUGUGAAAAUGUGCCUUUUGGUAUUGCUAAUCCGGAUAUAAUGCUCUUGGCAGUUGGCUCUCAGGACUGCGCUUAGUCCCUGAGCACAAAAGUUCUUACCUUGGUUGGGGGUGGGCAGAUGGUACAGGUGGAUUGGAAGUGACUGUCUGAUUAUCAUUUGGGAUUGAGUCUGUUGUGUGCUGUGUAAAUUUAAUUUACCCCUUUGCUCUUUGUGUCAGUUGAGACCAACUGAAAAGUGAUUGCUUUCAGUAAGUAACCUUAUGAUAACACGACGCUUCAUUUUGUGUGAUUUGAGUUUUGGGACCCAGUUUAUAGGAUCAAGGAAGGGUUUUACUGGGCAUUUUAUGUUCAGGGGUUAUAUCCCUGGCUUUAGUAUUGAGGACUUUGAAGUUUACACGUUGUCAUGUUUAGCGCCCUCAGGUGCUCCUGUGCCAUAGAUAAGCUCCUGCACUGAUAACAGUCUUUCCAGAAAAAUGACUGAGGAGCUCAUAUUUAGUCACUCUGAUUCUCAGGUAUCAACUUGAACUGAAGGAUGACUACAUCAUUAGAACUAAUCGACUGAUUGAAGAUGAAAGGAAGAAUAAAGAAAAAGCUGUUCAUUUGCAAGAGGAGCUCAUAGCUAUUAAUUCAAAAAAGGAGGAACUCAAUCAAUCUGUAAAUCGUGUGAAAGAACUUGAGCUUGAAUUAGAGUCUGUCAAAGCCCAGUCUUUGGCAAUAACAAAACAAAACCAUAUGCUGAAUGAAAAGGUUAAAGAGAUGAGUGAUUAUUCACUACUAAAAGAAGAGAAACUGGAGCUUCUGGCACAAAAUAAAUUACUUAAACAACAACUGGAAGAGAGUAGAAAUGAAAACUUGCGUCUCCUAAACCGCCUAGCUCAGCCGGCUCCUGAACUUGCAGUCUUUCAGAAAGAACUACGGAAAGCCGAAAAGGCUAUAGUGGUUGAGCAUGAGGAGUUCGAAAGCCGCAGGCAAGCUCUGCACAAACAACUGCAAGACGAAAUUGAGCAUUCUGCACAGCUGAAGGCCCAGAUUCUAGGUUACAAAGCUUCUGUAAAGAGUUUAACUACUCAGGUUGCCGAUUUAAAAUUGCAACUGAAGCAAACUCAGACAGCCCUAGAGAAUGAAGUGUACUGCAAUCCAAAGCAGUCUGUGAUCGAUCGUUCUGUCAAUGGAUUAAUAAAUGGCAAUGUGGUGCCUUGCAAUGGUGAGAUAAGCGGGGAUUUCUUGAACAAUCCUUUUAAACAGGAAAAUGUUCUAGCACGUAUGGUUGCAUCAAGGAUCACAAAUUAUCCAACUGCAUGGGUGGAGGGUAGUUCCCCUGAUUCUGAGCUUGAGUUUGUAGCCAAUACUAAGGCAAGGGUCAAAGAGCUUCAGCAAGAGGCCGAACGCUUGGAAAAGGCUUUCAGAAGUUACCAUCGGAGAGUCAUUAAAAACUCUGCCAAAAGCCCACUAGCAGCAAAGAGCCCACCAUCUCUGCACUUGCUGGAAGCCUUCAAAAACAUUACUUCCAGUUCCCCGGAAAGACAUAUUUUUGGAGAGGACAGAGUUGUCUCUGAGCAGCCUCAAGUGGGCACACUUGAAGAAAGGAAUGACGUCGUGGAAGCACUGACAGGCAGUGCAGCCUCGAGGCUCCGCGGGGGCACUUCCUCCAGACGCCUCUCCUCCACACCCCUUCCAAAAGCAAAAAGAAGCCUCGAAAGUGAAAUGUAUCUGGGAGGUCUGGGCAGAUCACACAUUGCUUCCCCCAGUCCUUGUCCUGACAGAAUGCCCCUACCAUCACCCACUGAGUCUAGGCACAGCCUCUCCAUCCCUCCUGUCUCCAGCCCUCCGGAGCAGAAAGUGGGUCUUUAUCGAAGACAAACUGAACUUCAAGACAAAAGUGAAUUUUCAGAUGUGGACAAGCUAGCUUUUAAGGAUAAUGAGGAGUUUGAAUCAUCUUUUGAAUCUGCAGGGAACGUGCCAAGGCAGUUGGAAAUGGGCGGGCUUUCUCCUGCCGGGGAUAUGUCUCAUGUGGACGCUGCUGCAGCUGCUGUGCCCCUCUCAUAUCAGCACCCAAGUGUAGAUCAGAAACAAAUUGAAGAACAAAAGGAAGAAGAAAAAAUACGGGAACAGCAAGUGAAAGAACGAAGGCAGAGAGAAGAAAGAAGGCAGAGUAACCUACAAGAAGUUUUAGAAAGGGAACGAAGAGAACUGGAAAAACUGUAUCAGGAAAGGAAGAUGAUUGAAGAAUCACUGAAGAUUAAAAUAAAAAAGGAAUUAGAAAUGGAAAAUGAAUUAGAAAUGAGUAAUCAAGAAAUAAAAGACAAAUCUGCUCACAGUGAAAAUCCUUUAGAGAAAUACAUGAAAAUCAUCCAGCAGGAGCAAGACCAGGAGUCGGCAGAUAAGAGCUCAAAAAAGAUGGUCCAAGAAGGCUCCCUAGUGGACACGCUGCAAUCUAGUGACAAAGUCGAAAGUUUAACAGGCUUUUCUCAUGAAGAACUAGACGACUCUUGGUAACCAUGUUUGCUGCCCAGCUUCUAACUUACAUACCGUGAGAAGUUACAUAACAUUUACUCCUUUGUAAAUGUUUCCCUAUCAUCAGACAAAACUCAAUAAAAAUGUGUGUAAUCCAAUGUGGGUUUUUUCCAUAAUUAAUUUUGAUACCAUAGUGUGUGAACCAAGAAUAAUCGAGUCAUGUGAAACCUCUUCUCCAGUCAUAGUAUUUCUCAUUCAUUAUAAUAAAAGUAACUGGCUUUUAA